GACGAACGCUGGCGGCGUGCUUAACACAUGCAAGUCGAACGGAAAGGCCCUUCUGGGUUCUCGAGCGGCGAACGCGAGCGUAACACGUGCGUAAGCGUCCCCUGCCUUUGGCAUAACGCUCGCUAACGGGGGCUAAUACUAGUUACGGCUCAGAUCUCCUGGUGGUCUGUGUGGAUAGUAAUGUUUCGGCGGUUGGGGAUGGACUCGCGGCUUAUCAGCUUGUUGGUGGGGUCUUGGCUUACCAAGGCUGGGACGGGUAGCCGGCCUGAGAGGGUGACCGGCCACACUGGGACUGAGACACGGCCCAGACUCCUACGGGAGGCAGCAGUGGGGAAUAUUGCACAAUGGGCGGAAGCCUGAUGCAGCGACGCCGCGUGCGGGAUGACGGCCUUCGGGUUGUAAACCGCUUUCGGCUGGGACGAAGCGUAAGUGACGGUACCUGCAGAAGAAGCGCCGGCUAACUACGUG
rnacentral:rRNA from 1 species